rnacentral:rRNA from 1 species
CUCCAGACUCCUACGGGAGGCAGCAGUGAGGAAUAUUGGUCAAUGGCCGAGAGGCUGAACCAGCCAAGUCGCGUGAGGGAAGACGGCCCUACGGGUUGUAAACCUCUUUUGUCGGGGAGCAAAGCGAACCACGUGUGGUUCAUUGAGAGUACCCGAAGAAAAAGCAUCGGCUAACUCCGUGCCAGCAGCCGCGGUAAUACGGAGGAUGCGAGCGUUAUCCGGAUUUAUUGGGUUUAAAGGGUGCGCAGGCGGAGGUGCAAGUCAGCGGUCAAAUUGCGGGGCUCAACCCCGUACUGCCGUUGAAACUGGCGCUCUUGAGUGGAAGAGAAGUAUGCGGAAUGCGUGGUGUAGCGGUGAAAUGCAUAGAUAUCACGCAGAACCCCGAUUGCGAAGGCAGCAUGCCGGCUUCCGACUGACGCUGAAGCACGAAAGCGUGGGGAUCGAACAGGAUUAGAUACCCGUGUA